AUGCGGGACUCAUCAGAGGCCUCGCAAUUGGAAUGAGCGCACUUUAAAUCGUUCGACGAGGAUCUAUUGGAGGGCAAGUCUGGUGCCAGCAGCCGCUGUAAUUCCAGCUCCAAUAGCGUAUAUUAAAGUUGUUGCAGUUAAAAAGCUCGUAGUUGGAUCUGGGGUUCGGGUCGGCGGUUUGCCGCUUCGGCGGCUACUGCCGUGCUCGACUCUUACUAGCCGGUGCGUCUUGCGGUGCUCUUCAUCGAGUGCCGUAGGAGCCUGGCAUGUUUACUUUGAAAAAAUUAGAGUGCUCAAAGCAGGCGAUUCCGCCUGAAUAGUGUCGCAUGGAAUAAUGGAAUAGGACCUCGGUUCUAUUUUGUUGGUUUUCGGAACUUGAGGUAAUGAUUAAGAGGGACGGUCGGGGGCAUUCGUAUUUCGGUGUUAGAGGUGAAAUUCUUGGAUCGCUGAAAGACGGACAAAUGCGAAAGCAUCUGCCAAGAACGUCUCCAUUAAUCAAGAACGAAAGUCAGAGGUUCGAAGACGAUCAGACACCGUCCUAGUUCUGACCAUAAACGAUGCCAACUAGCGAUCCGCAGUGGUUGCUAUAAACGGACUCUGCGAGCAGCUUCCGGGAAACCAAAGUGUUUGGGUUCCGGGGGAAGUAUGGUUGCAAAGCUGAAACUUAAAGGAAUUGACGGAAGGGCACCACCAGGAGUGGAGCCUGCGGCUUAAUUUGACCCAACACGGGGAAACUCACCCGGUCCGGACACUGUAAGGAUUGACAGAUCGAGAGCUCUUUCUUGAUUCGGUGGAUGGUGGUGCAUGGCCGUUCUUAGUUGGUAGAGUGAUUUGUCUGGUUAAUUCCGAUAACGAACGAGACUCUAGCCUGCUAACUAGUUGCGCCGUGUUCAUACGCGGCUGUAGACUUCUUAGAGGGACAGGUGGCGUUUAGCCACACGAAAUUGAGCAAUAACAGGUCUGUGAUGCCCUUAGAUGUCCGGGGCCGCACGCGCGCUACACUGAAGGAGUCAGCGUGUGCUAUCCGGGCUCGGAAGAGUUCGGUAACCCGUUGAAACUCCUUCGUGCUUGGGAUUGUGGCUUGUAAUUAUCGCGCAUGAACGAGGAAUUCCCAGUAAGUGCAAGUCAUCAGCUUGCGCUGACUACGUCCCUGCCCUUUGUACACACCGCCCGUCGCUACUACCGAUUGAAUGGUUUAGCAAGGUACUCGGAUUGGUCUCGAUCUUGUACGAAAGUGCGGGAUCUGUGGCC
rnacentral:rRNA from 1 species